UUUUCUCUUUUACGUUUCACUCUCUUGCCUGAGGUGGUCUUCGAUCAGUGCUGAAAUCGAUAGUAUUAUCUAUGCAGAUCUUUUCUACUUGUUGUGCUCGAAAACACGAGGGUGACACUAGGCUAAAAUAAGAAGCUUAAAUGACUUGGCUGGCAAGUGACAACUAUAUGAAAAUGGCCAUUCAGAGUUAGGUCUUUGAGUGCACUGCCACUAUAUUAUAACUGAUGAGAAUGAAUGGGAUAUUUGUGGUAUUCCGAUGGAGGUAGCUGCUGCUGUGAAGAGGCAAAUCAUAAUUCUCAAAGAAGUACGUGGUAUGAUUAAGCUAGGUAGAGAGCUUGAUCCUGCUGUAAAGCAAAUCAAGCCAAGGAUAAAAAAAGAUUCGGAAUCAGAAAUAAUUAGUAAAAGAUACUCUCGCUCCUCGAAAACCACCCUUGCCUCUAUCUAAGAAAAUCAAGAAGAUUUCAGCUUCGCCUCAGGUCCUAAGAAUAACGCCAGUCCAGACUUUUAUCCAUCUAUCACAACCAACAACUAAACAUACAAAGAGCUCCGAAAAGGCUCCAACUUCACAGCUUUCACAGAAAAGGACCCACAACCAGAAUGUUGAAAGAUAAGGAUUCCGACCUCCAUCGGGCAGUCUAAAUCAUCCACAAGUACCAAGGAGCCUUCAAGAAUUAGAGAGACAAACUUAGGACAGGAAGAGCCUAUCCAUCAUAUUGUAUCGGAAGUAACAUGAGCUGCAUGAAUUUAUAUCACAAGGAACAGUCAAGCGUAGCCCUGUGUGACAGAUGAUUUUGCAAUGCAAAAUGUUAUUCUUCAAAUGGGUUUACGCCUUGUGGCCUCUGGAGGAAUGCAGAUUCAUGAGCUGCACAGAGAUUCCUUUUACAACAGAAAUUGGGGAAUGUCUUUCAAGUAUUAUAAAUAUUUGGCUGUAAGUACGGUCUGCUAUCUGCUUUCAAGUGUGGAGGUCUUCUUUCCUUUGCACAUAACAUACUCAUGUUCAAACAUCGUAGUAAACAAUGGUCCAUUAAUGUCAGAUAUAACAGAAAUUCUUUGAACUUUAUUUCAUCUUCUCAAACUAAAAUAGAGGUAUGCAACUAUUGCUGAUCAUAUAGAGUAUCUUUAUUUAGCUGUGUCUUCCUUUUAUGUAUGAAUCUUUAUCUUUAAGUUGCAACUUUCUUGAAAUUUCAUUUUUUGAUUACUCUUCCGUUUGUAAUGAGUAUUUAUGCUAUAUCAGGGGACUUUUUUGUGUAUGAAUUAAGGAAGUUGGCUGGUUUUACCAAGUUUAUGUGUAGCUGUGUUUUAUCUUCCGUUCAUAUUUGAUCUUGGAAGACAUUAAGUUACAGUUCAUGUUGCAAGUCCUUUAAUUGAUUACCAUUUAGUUAUAUUAAUUAGUUAUAGUAGGGGAACUUAAUUUGGUGGGUAGGAUUCGAAGAAGAAACAUGAGUUCAACCAUGAAUGGAUUGCUGUUGAAGUACAAAGCAAAUGACAUGCACAUGAAAAAAUUACUAAAACAGAGCAAAGUAUCCUUCUAGCAUCCAUGUGAGUUUUUAUACACUUAUACUUGCAGUAAAGUCGUUAGGUGCCAUUAGUAAGAAGCUAAUGAAUUUCAAAUUCCCAACUCCAUAAGAAAGCAAAAUGUUCCAGCUCAUGCAAUUUUGAGUCCUGUUUUACAUCCUACAUCAACUGCAAAAAGUAUUACUCACUUGGCCUUGAAAUGAUGCAUACUAUUACUUGCAGUAAAGUCGUUAGGUGCCAUUAGUAAGAAGCUAAUGAAUUUCAAAUUCCCAACUCCCAUAAGAAAGCAAAAUGUUCCAGCUCAUGCAAUUUUGAGUCCUGUUUUACAUCCUACAUCAACUGCAAAAAAGUAUUACUCACUUGGCCUUGAAAUGAUGCAUACUAUUGGUCGUAUUUUUGUUUCCUGCUCUAUGGCCAGUCUUGCUCUCUUUUUUAACUUGUUAUAUAGAUUUAAGUUUGAUACUUCAAGAUAACGCAUGUGGAUAUUGAUCUGCAUGUGUGAUAAUGUUGCAAAUUAAGAUUUUGAAAGCUGUCAAUUUUAUAUAUGCGUGCCUCUGCAUGUGUGAAGAUAUUACAAAUUGAGAUUUUGAAAGCUGUCAGUUUUAUAUAUGUGAGCCUCCGCAUGUGUGAUGAUGUUAUAAAUUGAGAUUUUGAAAGCUGUCAGUUUUAUAUAUGUGCGACUAUCUAACUAUACUUCAAAAGGUGGACAAGCUGAGAGACUGCUUAUCCUAUGACUCAGAGAUAGGAAGCAAGUUAGUCAAUAACAACUCUAAUUAGUUGCAUCCAAGAAUAACCAGCGCCAUGGUCAGAAGGAGAAUUUGGGGUAAAGAAAUGACACAGCUCCAUACUUCUGAAAAUAUACAUUUGACUUUUUUUUUUUCCAAACUACAAUUAGAAAACAAACUGAAAGUUUGUAAAAGAUAUCAUUUUGAUACAGAAGCAUUCCUUGAAUGAGAAGGGCUAUUAAGUUCCAAAACGAGGGGGAAAAAAAAACUUGUGACAACGACUUGCUUGCUUAAGAGUAUGCUUAUUGCCCAAUUCGUAAUACCCUACACCAUUAAAGAAGUUAGACAUGAAAAUAUUGUAUGCUGGGAUUCGUAUAUGCUUCCAUUAGGUAUAGGAGGUUGAAGCUUUUCUUACACUACUAUUAUCUAGAUUUGCUUCGAUGAGUGAAGCUAUAUUUUAUUUGAGAGUAUGCUAAACCUAGGCUUCUCAUACUACCUCAUUUUUAAUGUCUACCUUCUGUUUUAAAUAAAUGAACCAGUUUCAUAUAUGUCUUCAUAUGAUUAAAAUAGGGAACUGUGAGGAAACAUGGUUGAGCCAUUUUCUCCUCAGGUGGCGAUGACUCGAUUGAACCAUUUUCUCCUCUUGCUGGUCAGAUCUAAUCUGUUGGUUCUAAUAAGUGGUUGGGUCUUUGAAUGACUCAUUCUAUCCUUUCUUUUUUGGUUUUUCUCACUGUGUCAUUUCCUCUUUCGUGUAAACAAGGGAGAUAGGGAGAAGGUGUAGAAGGAUGGAGAAAUGGUUAUGGCAAGGCUAAGCUUAAUUCAUUUGAUAUGAUCGAGAUUGUUUGGUUGACCAAUAAUCAGCUGUGACAUUACUGGUUUCUUGUCAAGUAAAAUGAGUGAUGAUAUGUUGAAAAAUCAGAACAUAAAAUGUGUUCUCUUGCAAGCACCAGAUCAACAUUAACUGUGAAGUCAUGCACACAAAAUGAGAAAAGGGGCAUGUGUAAUUUACUGUGGAAGUCAGUUUGCUAUGCGAUGUUGUGUAAUAUUUAUACAGUGUUAAAUUGUAGAGAAAAUUUGCACGGAAGCCAAGGGGGACACUACUUCGCCUGUACCAUUUGCUGCAUAGCUGAGAUAUUGUCAAGGUUCGAAAGGAAAAUUUUAUCUUAAGUACAAAGAGAUGCUAUUUUGUUCUCUUUUUUAA